UACAGAGGUCUCAAGCGUUGUUCGGAUUCAUUGGGCGUAAAGGGUGCGUAGGCGGCGCGGUAAGUCGGGUGUUAAAUCUCGGAGCUUAACUCCGAAACUGCAUUCGAUACUGCCGUGCUUGAGGACUGGAGAGGAGACUGGAAUUUACGGUGUAGCGGUGAAAUGCGUAGAUAUCUGGAGGAAUACCGGUGGCGAAGGCGGCAUCCUGGACCGGUAUUGACGCUGAGGCGCGAAAGCCAGGGGAGCAAACGGG
rnacentral:rRNA from 1 species